GAAGGGAUGGCUCAGUGGCAGAGCAUCUACCUUGCACGCAGGAAGCCCCAAGUUCAAUUCCUAUCACUUCC
rnacentral:tRNA from 1 species